rnacentral:rRNA from 1 species
CCUACGGGAGGCAGCAGUAGGGAAUAUUGCUCAAUGGGGGAAACCCUGAAGCAGCAACGCCGCGUGGAGGAUGAAGGUUCUCGGAUUGUAAACUCCUUUUGUUAGAGAAGAUAAUGACGGUACCUAACGAAUAAGCACCGGCUAACUCCGGGCCAGCAGCCGCGGUAAUACGGAGGGUGCAAGCGUUACUCGGAAUCACUGGGCGUAAAGAGCGCGUAGGCGGGAUAGCAAGUCAGAUGUGAAAUCCUAUGGCUUAACCAUAGAACUGCAUUUGAAACUGUUAUUCUAGAGUAUGGGAGAGGUAGGUGGAAUUCUUGGUGUAGGGGUAAAAUGCGUAGAGAUCAAGAGGAAUACUCAUUGCGAAGGCGACCUGCUAGAACAUAACUGACGCUGAUGCGCGAAAGCGUGGGGAGCAAACAGGAUUAGAUACCCCUGUAGUC